AAGCGGUGGAGCAUGUGGUUAAUUCGACGCAACGCGAAGAACCUUACCUGGGCUUGACAUCCCGAUCGCACCUUAUGGAAACAUAGGGGUCAGUUCGGCUGGAUCGGUGACAGGUGCUGCAUGGCUGUCGUCAGCUCGUGUCGUGAGAUGUUGGGUUAAGUCCCGCAACGAGCGCAACCCUUGUCCUUAGUUGCCAGCAUUCAGUUGGGCACUCUAAGGAGACUGCCGGUGUCAAACCGGAGGAAGUGGGGAUGACGUCAAGUCCUCAUGGCCCUUAUGUCCAGGGCUACACACGUGCUACAAUGGCCGGUACAAAGGGGCGCAAGACCGCGAGGUGGAGCAAAUCCCAAAAAACCGGUCUCAGUUCGGAUUGGAGUCUGCAACUCGACUCCAUGAAGUUGGAAUCGCUAGUAAUCGCGUAUCAGCAUGACGCGGUGAAUACGUUCCCGGGCCUU
rnacentral:rRNA from 1 species